rnacentral:tRNA from 1 species
CAAAGGAUGCCUGAUAAAAAGGAAUAUUUUGAUAGAAUAUCUCAUGGAAUAAAAAAGUUCCUCCUUUGA